CCCCUCACAGGAUUGCACCUGGAGAGUUUCCAGUACUCUACCAGUAUCAGAUAUGGGAGGGAGAAUCAAGCAGAGGCCUACUCAUUCCAUUCCUAGUUUGGGCAGUGGCUAGGGAGUGGAACGCAAUCUGUUACAAGU
rnacentral:snoRNA from 1 species